rnacentral:lncRNA from 1 species
ACCUGUAACACCUCUCCUGUGUAUAUUCUGUAGGGGUGAGCUUCAACAAUUUCGCUAAGAGUGCUAUCCCACCCAGAAAUUGCUCAAUUAUUUUGCCAUUCAAAUAGAGUAAAUAUGCUAUGCUCAGAAACUAUUUGAUUUGAAAUAAGCUUCUUGAGAUAAAUUAGAGGCACUGUGUUUUUUCAUUGUUUAAAUUUUUGAACUUCUCAACUGGCCUUCAAGGUGCAUGCCAAAUGCAAUUGGUUUGUCCAUUGUGGCUACUAAUUAAGACCUCUGAGUUUAUUUGCUUGACUGACAUGGAAAAUUGAUGGUAAAUUACUAGGAAAUUUAUGAAGUCUUACAACGCAUUCCUUUUCUGACUUCUAAGUUAUCUAUGAUUCAUUUCUGAAUUAUUGCAUGCUUUUGUGUUGCUGUGCAUUUACUCUUGUGCGGCAAAGUACAGUUGUAAACAAACAAAAGUAAGUGUUUUGAGUUCAAUAUUACUAAGGGCACCAUGUAUUGUGUGCGCCGUUUGUUUUAAUCCCAUUAUUUUAUCACACCUAUUCUGCUUAACUUCUUCAUCUGUUUCCUCUUUAAGCAAUUUGCCGGACGUUACAUAAUAUAAAUACCAAUGUUUUAAAUAGCGGGCUAUGCCAAAUAGUGGCGGCCCUCCAAAUCAGCUAUAGCCACUGUAGCCAGCUAUUUACAGGCUUCUGAAUAUAUAUUCAUUUUGGUUGUGCAUAAUUUUUGGAUAUUGGACAGGUGUUGAGGAGUAGAUGCGGGAACAAGGCGCAUGCAAGCUGAGGGCUGCAUAGAUGCCCAUCACGAUGGUGGAGAUCAGGUUGAUGUGCUAAGGGUUGGUGAAUCAUGGUGCCAAUUAAGGUUGUGCUGCAACUUGGCAACAGGCUUGUGGUCUGUAGUAGGGUGCCUUGUGUUGUAAUAUGGUCGUAUAUAUUUGACCUGGAGUUUACAUUGCCUUGUGUGCCUUGGUGUGACAAACAAUGGGGGAGUCUAUGCCGCAUAAGGUCGCGAGCAUCAUUGGUGUUAAGUUUUUGUGCAAUUAGUAUGUUAAUUAAGACUCCGCAUUAAAUCAAAGUGAUUGAGAUCUUGUUGUAUUCCAUCUAAUAGAUGUGUCUGCUAUUGCUAAAACUUAAAGUGUGAGUUCCUCGGAAAAAAAAUCUAUUUUUUU